AAGUGCAACUACAUAAUGUUUGCAUUUCGGCUGUUAAUGACUUCUGCUGUGCUAGGCUUUUGCCAGCUUCAUUGGAAGACAUGGCUGUCCAGCGAACUCGCUAGCUUACUUAGGCUAGCGCAGUUAGCCACUUCUCGAUUGACUACAAAAGUACAGUAGCUAGCUACAUUUAGAGGUCUACUGCUGGUUAGCUAGCGAACGUUACAUUCACGUCAAGAAAGCCAUCCAAGAACACUCCACGGAGUUUAACAUGUGGAUAAAGAAGGGUGGUUAUUGGAUAACACUGGAAGAUCUUCACUUAGCAAAGAGCAUAUGUAGGAGCUUGUCCUCAUCAAGUUCUAUAUCUAUUACAACUGAUAAUCCAUAGGAAAAUAAACCAAGAGAUGUGAGUUGUUCUGCUGGUCAACCCCAUUGCUUUGUUGAGAACCCCAGCAGCUGCUCCAGGAGACCACAGCCUCCUGUCUUUCAGAUGCUGCUGACCUAGCUGUCAAUCAUCCCAAAGGGGAUACCAGCUGAUGAACGGUCUCCAAAGUUGAGAGAAACUGAAGAGGAAUAUGACUUUUUUACUCAUUGUAGCUAUACUGAUGACCAUGAGGGUCAACUUAUCCAUUGUUGCUAAACUUUGUUCAGUCCCAUUUUCUGGCAGUUUUACUAGAAAUGUAAGUGUAGCAGAUGUUAAAACAACUGCUUCAAAGGCGUUUUCCACUUGCUCUUAAUGUGAAGAAAAUAAAUGUUUGAAGGUUCUCUUCCUAACUGAAAAUCAAUCCAGUAAAUGUGGAAGUGUGUUAGGUUGGAGUGUGACCUUGUAAACAUUGUGUCAUAGACUCUUUCCAUACACCUUGAAAAACCAGAUCAUUUUGGUUAAAAUAUUAUUAAUUCUGUGGCAAUUAAGUUUAAGCCCCCAAAACAACACAGGUGAACACUUGGUUCGCAUAUCAAUGGGAAUACUCUGCUGUUGAAAUAAGGUAAAUAAAUAUUCCCAUUAUGUUACUGUAUAGUUGUUUAGAAGUUUCAGGUAAGCUGACAACAAGAAAUAUUAAAUAAGUGUCAAAGCAAUUUUAGUCAUUGUUUUUCCAUCGCAGAUCUGAG
ensembl:lncRNA